rnacentral:lncRNA from 1 species
GCGACCCCGAGGUGCGACCUCGGCGUGGCUGGCGGUUGGUCCGGGCGAGGAGCCCGCAGCCUGGGCGUCAGCGUGGUCAGGGCCGUCGUGGCUCCCGCCGCGGGCCUCGGCGCAGAGAUCCUAAGGCCGCGGCGCCGUCCCGGUCCCGCCAGUGGUGCCACCCGGCUGCCUCGCCGUGGUGUGCCGUGGUCGCCACCGGGCCCGACACGCGGCCGUAGCCCCGUCUGGAGAGCCGGGCGGUGCCAGCCAAGCCCCGCGGGUGGGGCCUGUUCCUCUGCCCGCAGCAGCCGGCCCGGGUUCCGGCCACCGCGGCCCCUCACCGCCUCCUGGCGCCUUCCCCGUGGCCCCUGCAUGCGCUUCUGCGGGCGCCUCCUUCUCGGCACCUGCUCGGCUGCUUCUCCCUGCGUCCCCCACCUGGCUCCCGCGUGAGCCCAGGCAGCGCCCCAGUCGGGCCGCCCCCGCCAGCCCUAGCUGUGCGCCCUGCGUCCCCGGUACUGAUCCAGCUUUGCGGAGGAGGCUCCGCCUCCUGCCUCCAGCUGGGCCAGAAGCUCUGGGGCCCUUCCCGAGCACUCGGGAGCCACCUGUGCACAUCUUCUCAGUCCCCACGGCCCCGGUGCAGGCCUGCCAAGAGAAGGAUCCCCGCGGAAACGUCUCGACUGACUCAGUCCCUUUCUGCACACCUGCUCUUCCCUGGGCGCGCUCUCGCCUUACUUAUUCCUGUGUGGUUCAGGCGCUGCGGAAGGAGAAGGCACCUAGACUGCACUGGGAAGGCUCCUGGAGUUGACCUGGAGCGCCAGGAAAGGUCAGUGGAGGAAAGUGCUCCAGGCAGAGGGAAUAGCUUGUGCCAAGGCCCUGAGACCCCGGCUGGGGAGCCUAAUAAUGGCAACAGUCAGCACUUGCCACGCCAAGGCAUGUUCUGAGUGUGUGUCUCGUGUCAUUUCUGUGAUGCUCGCACAUCGUUAGGGGGUACAUACCACUGGAACCUCCUCUUUUAAUAAAUGAGGAAACUGAGGCACACGGCGGUUAAGGGACUUACGCCAGGUCACACAGCAGUGGAGCUGCGCUCGGGCAGGGGGGCAGUGGAAACUGGAGAGCCCAGGGGGCAAACGGCGGAGGCUGGAGGGGCUGGCAAGGGAGGCACCGCAAAGGGCCUCACAGGGGCUAGACGAGGGCCCUGGGCACCAGAGAUUAUGGUGCCCCGCCAUGUGGAUUGAAGAUUAAACCUCGAAGCAAGUGUAUAAUGCCCCC